rnacentral:rRNA from 1 species
UCAUUGGGCGUAAAGGGUCCGCAGGUGGCCAAUCAAGUCGGCUGUUAAAGACCGGGGCUUAACUCCGGGCAGGCAGUGGAAACUGAUUAGCUAGAGUACGGUAGGGGUAGAGGGAAUUCCCAGUGUAGCGGUGAAAUGCGUAGAUAUUGGGAAGAACACCGGUGGCGAAAGCGCUCUACUAGGCCGAAACUGACACUGAGGGACGAAAGCUAGGGUAGCGAAAGGGAUUAGAUACCCCUGUAGUCUUAGCUGUAAACGAUGGAUACUAGGUGUAGCUCGUAUCGACCCCAGCUGUGCCGAAGCUAACGCGAUAAGUAUCCCGCCUGGGGAGUACGCACGCAAGUGUGAAACUCAAAGGAAUUGACGGGGGCCCGCACAAGCGGUGGAGUAUGUGGUUUAAUUCGAUGCAACGCGAAGAACCUUACCAGGGCUUGACAUGUCGCGAAUCUAGCGGAAACGUUAGAGUGCCUUAGGGAAUGCGAACACAGGUGGUGCAUGGCUGUCGUCAGCUCGUGUCGUGAGAUGUUGGGUUAAGUCCCGCAACGAGCGCAACCCUCGUCCUUAGUUGCCAAUAUUAAGUUAGGCACUCUAGGGAUACUGCCGGGGACAACUCGGAGGAAGGUGGGGAUGACGUCAAGUCAGCAUGCCCCUUACGUCCUGGGCGACACACGUACUACGAUGGUUGGGACAAAGGGCAGCAAGCUCGCGAGAGUAAGCGAAUCUCAUCAAACCCAGCCACAGUUCAGAUUGCAGGCUGCAACUCGCCUGCAUGAAGUAGGAAUCGCUAGUAAUCGCAGGUCAGCAUACUGCGGUGAAUUCGUUCCCGGGCCUUGUACACACCGCCCGUCACACCAUGGAAGCUGGCUACGCCCGAAGUCGUUACCCUAACCCUAAGGGGAGGGGGAUGCCGAAGGUAGAGCUAGUGACUGGGGUGAAGUCGUAACAAGGUAGCCGUACCUGAAGGUGUGGCUGGAUCACCUCCUUU